UGGGGUAUCGUCUAAUGGCAGGACAGCUGGUUUUGGUCCAGCGAAUUGAGGUUCGAGUCCUUAUACCCCAGCCA
rnacentral:tRNA from 1 species